UAGGGAAUCUUCCACAAUGGACGCAAGUCUGAUGGAGCAACGCCGCGUGAGUGAAGAAGGGUUUCGGCCCGUAAAGCUCUGUUGUUAAAGAAGAACGUGGGUAAGAGUAACUGUUUACCCAGUGACGGUAUUUAACCAGAAAGCCACGGCCAACUACGUGCCAG
rnacentral:rRNA from 1 species